AGACUCUCGGCAACGGAUAUCUCGGCUCUUGCAUCGAUGAAGAACGUAGCGAAAUGCGAUACUUGGUGUGAAUUGCAGAAUCCCGUGAACCAUCGAGUCUUUGAACGCAAGUUGCGCCCGAAGCCAUUAGGCCGAGGGCACGCCUGCCUGGGUGUCGCCCA
rnacentral:rRNA from 4 species